ACUCGCGAGGGUAAGCGAAUCUCUAAAAGCCAUUCUCAGUUCGGAUUGUAGUCUGCAACUCGACUACAUGAAGCCGGAAUCGCUAGUAAUCGCGGAUCAGCACGCCGCGGUGAAUACGUUCCCGGGUCUUGUACACACCGCCCGUCACACCACGAGAGUUUGUAACACCCGAAGCCGGUGGCCUAACCAAAAGGGGGGAGCCGUCGAAGGUGGGAUAGAUGAUUGGGGUGAAGUCGUAACAAGGUAGCCGUAUCGGAAGGUGCGGCUGGAUCACCUCCUUU
rnacentral:rRNA from 1 species